rnacentral:sRNA from 1 species
AGUACACCCCUUUCCAUUCAUCAUUACUACAUAUCCACUGUAUCUCCCGAUGGCAUCCGUUUACAACCGUUUAUCCAAGCAUGGCAGCGAGAAUGCGCCUUUUCAGAGUCGCUCCACAAAGUACGAGACAUGAUUGGCACAGGAUCUGCCAGAGGGCUACCGAAAUCAUGCCCAACGUUACCCAGGUGAAUGACUGGCUGUGGAAAGCUGCGAAAGGAAUUACAGAGGGUCGGUCUCAGAUCGUUCUCUCUGCCACUGGAUCGGGGAAAAGCAUGGUUUGGACCCUGCUGCUUUUGGCGAUGAAGCGACGGGGAGGUCGGGGCAGGGGAAUGGGUGGGAAUGGAAGUGCGCUCGAUAGGCAGGAGAGAAGGAUAGUCCCAGAGUGGCGAGGGAAAGAGAGAAUACCGUCACGGAGAUCAAUUUUCGCGCUGUGUGGUAACAAGAAGUCGAGACCAAGGAUGAGGUCGACUGAUAUGUUGUCGAUAACGAAGAGGGCCGUGGGAAUGACGAUAUGGUAUCCCUCUUUGGUUGGGAAGUGUAUGUCGACAAGAUGAUAGCCUGCAGAGGAAGAUUUGCCGAUGCCAUUGAGUUGGAAGUUCGUAAAAGGGUGACGGGGGAGGUGAGAGAGGUGUUUGUUGGCAUACUCUUGGCUAAUGGCAGAGAGCGAAGCACCGGUGUCGAUGACAGCACGAUGGGUUGUGGCGGAUGGGUUGUUGCUGUUAAACUUGACGGUAGCAUAAGCUGGUGUCUUGUUCAGAUGGGUUCGGUGAAGUUGUAGCUGUGGGAGCGCAUGGGUGGGUAAAUGGGCCGAAGGACGGGGGAAGGUUGAAUGACAGAGGGUAUGAAUGGAGGGCUUCGGAGAGUCGAAGCGGUAACCAUCUUUGUUUGCAAUACUGUUGACCGAGUUGGCAGGUGGCUUGUAGUUGGGGGAAUUGGUGUUGGAAGGAGGGCGAGCCCAAGAAGGGAAGGAACUGCGACCGUCGGAAGAGGUACUUGUGGCGGGGUUAUUAGUCGUGAAUGAAGGGCGACUGUUGUUGUAUUGUUGUUGUUGUCGCUUCUUCAGUGUACAUUGGUCGCUCCAAUGGUAAGCGCCACAGGUGAAGCAAGGUGUGGAUGGUUUUUCGGGACGGUUGCCAGGUAGGAAGCGUGAAGAGCGGGCGAUCGAAGAGUUUGCAAAGGAGGUGUUCGAGUGAUUGUUAAGUUGGGUACGUGUGCGAUCGGCUGGGUGUCGAUGGCUUGUGGGGAAGAGUUGGGGAUGGAAACGGGGUUCGAUCUGGAGUACAUGGAGUCGGAAUUCGCGAAGAGACAUGGUCGGAGUGACGCCAGUCUGCAGUUGGGCGCGAAGAGUGGCAGGGAUGCCGCCAAGUAUGUCUCGGACAAGGAGAGAGUCUUCUGUGUUGGCUGGGAAGAGGAAUUGCUGAAGGUAUACUUUGUCUUCGUAAUAGUUGGCGAAUGUCUCGUUUGGACCAAGAUAGCGGCGGAUGCACUUCUCUUUUAAGUCAUCGAGGGAGUUUGGAGGGAGGAAUCGGUCUUGAAGUUCUUUCGACCAGGCAGCCCAGGUGGUGAGGGAGGUGUGUUCUUUCUCAGGAAGGCGGGCAUAAUAUUUGAAGGCGUUAUCGCGAAGGAGAGAAGGG